AGCACUGUUAUCCACUGAGCCACGCCACUGUCAGAGUGUCCCAUUCCAAAUGAGCUGUCUAAAAUUGGAACGGAGGGUGAAGGCGAGUGAAAGAAGGUGACCGAGCCAGGAGGAGAGAGAGCACAGAUGGCUUGGUGGUGGUAUGGUGUGCUCCAUCGGCUGCCAACCUAGGGCCAUCGCCUGCCUCCAUCACCCGUUCGCCGCCUGCCCACCACCCAAUCCCAAAUGGGUACUGGAUCAGGUGCCGAAUCUGGCUGCCUCCUCGGGUACCAGCCACUGCAUUGCUGUGUGUCUGCCACCGCUGCCUGGCACUCAUGGGGCCGUGUGUGUAUGUGUGUGUGCGCGCGCAUGUACGUGUACGCAUACGCGCGCGUGUUGUAUGUGAGCCUCCUGGGCAUGGGUGGGGGUUGGCAUUGCGGUUGCCACUGUAGCAUCCAACUAGAAGGACAGAAGGGUAGAGUAGAAGAAGGAGGGGAGAGGUGUGGGGCCUUGGAGGGGAGAAGAGGGUGCAUGAUUGCAGGCAUUGGCACUGCAGCUGCCACCCUUGUGCCCAUGGAGAUAGGAGGGGCAGCGGCAGGAGUCCCCAUGCUCUGGGAGGAAGGUGCGGCACACGAGAGCUGUUGGCAUCACAACUGUUGGGCUUGUGCCCAGGCCUGGGGUUAUGGGGACUAGAGGGACGAGGAGAUAGAGAGGGGAUGCACUGCUGAUGCCGCUGUCCCUCUAGAAUGAGUUCUGAGAAGUGUUGGGGCUAUGAAGGAGUCAUCUCUGUUCCAGUCUAGAGAGCAAAGUGAAGAGAGUAGGUGGGGAAGAGCCAAGAAAGGAUGGAAAAGGUGGGAGAACUACUACCCAGGGAGAACUUGUUUGGGCUAGCAGUGUGGCCUUUUCAGAGAACACCCAAGAAGACAGCAGGGGAACUUGGGUACAAGAGAAGCUGGUACUGCCCAUGGAGCCUGGCAUGGCUCUGGUGUUGUGUGGAAGGCCCCUCUAUUUUGGCAGAGAAAGUUGUUGUGCCAGGAGUUAGGUGGAGAGAUGAAGGAUGUUUUCUUUGGGAGAACAGACUGUUUUUCUGCCAGGCCCUCCUUCCCAUUCCCUGUUAGGCAUGGAUUGCUGAAUGACAGAUGGAGUGCCGUAUGAGGACACAAUGGAGGAAGCAUGCCAUUGCUAAGACUCCCAGGAAGAAGAGUGGUGAGCCUGACAGUCCUGCUGGCCUCCAGUCAUUCCACUGCUGACACUGGCUGUGUCCUCUAGCCUGCUCUGUAUGUACCAUUAUUGCAGGGAGGGGUUGCAUGUGAAGCUGGGCUGUGAAAUGGAAGGAGUACCUUUUUUUUUUUUUUCUUUUUUGUGGAUCUCAUUUGUACUGUCCACUCUUACAAGUGUGACUGAUUUUUAUCCCUGGUACCUCCCUCUCCUUUCCCUCUCUUUGCCUACCCCCUCUUUCAUCAUCACCAUCUGGGUCCUAUUGCUUGGCACCCAACCAAGUAGAUUCCGCCACAAUUGGCAGUAUUGCACUGGCAUGUGACCAGUGACUCAGAUGCUGGCACUGCGGCAAACCCAAAGCUGCCAAAUUUGCUCAAGACACCACUUGGCGGCAAUGAUGGAGAGGGGUCAUGUGCAUAGAAGUGCCAGGCUGGGUGGAGCUCCAUAUUGGGAAGUGGCACACGAGGCUGUCCUUCACAGAUGGACUGAAGUCAGCAUUCACUGCAACAUCUCACCUCUGCUGUCGCCAAACAGGACACUCAUCUCUGUCUGCCGUCAUUAACUCCAAUAUACUGUUUUUGAGCAGCUAGGCAAAGGAAUCUAGACAUCAUCUAUAGCCACACCUAAAGCCAGUGGCUGUGUACUUCUCUGGGUAGCUAGGACAGACAAAAAAUUGGAGAGUGAAAAGGCCUGGAGAGAGACUUGAGGCUAUGCUGUUACUCAGACAGUACCAAAACAGAGUGAAAGGAGACCUUCAGGCUUUGCUAUUAGGGAGUGGCUGUGUUUUACAUGUGUUUCCUACUGUCCUGUGGUUGAGAUGAACUAGUCCCUUGUCCUUUAUUCAAAUGUCCCUAGAAGAAUGAGAGGCACUGUAGAACUGGAGAGGUGCGGUGUAGCCAAGACAAGGGCACCCAGGACUUCUACAAAGACUAAGAUUUUAUGUUUAGGGAUUUCCCAAUGACACCCCAAAUAGGACCAGACUAACAUCUGCCUUUGAAAUUUGCUCUUGGAA
rnacentral:lncRNA from 1 species